GAUGAACGCUGGCGGCGUGCCUAAUACAUGCAAGUCGAGCGAACGGACGAGAGGCUUGCUUCUCUGAUGUUAGCGGCGGACGGGUGAGUAACACGUGGAUAACCUACCUAUAAGACUGGGAUAACUUCGGGAAACCGGAGCUAAUACCGGAUAAUAUUUUGAACCGCAUGGUUCAAAAGUGAAAGACGGUCUUGCUGUCACCUAUAGAUGGAUCCGCGCUGCAUUAGCUAGUUGGUAUGGUAACGGCUUACCAAGGCAACGAUGCAUAGCCGACCUGAGAGGGUGAUCGGCCACACUGGAACUGAGACACGGUCCAGACUCCUACGGGAGGCAGCAGUAGGGAAUCUUCCGCAAUGGGCGAAAGCCUGACGGAGCAACGCCGCGUGAGUGAUGAAGGUCUUCGGAUCGUAAAACUCUGUUAUUAGGGAAGAACAUAUGUGUAAGUAACUGUGCACAUCUUGACGGUACCUAAUCAGAAAGCCACGGCUAACUACGUG
rnacentral:rRNA from 1 species